CCAAACAUGAACCUAAAAGCAUACCAAUGCCACAUUUGUUGUGGAAUCACUGUCUCCAGAUGAAAUCAGACCACAGUUGAGUUUAGACUCCACCAAUUUUGACAAAAGUUAACA